AGCAGCCGCGGUAAUUCCAGCUCCAAUAGCGUAUAUUAAAGUUGUUGCAGUUAAAAAGCUCGUAGUUGAAUUUCGGGAUCAAGGAAUCGGUCAUGCCUCGGUAUGUACUGGUUUUAUUGGUUCUCACCUUCUAAAGAACCAUGAUGUCAUUCAUUUGAUGUUAUGGGGAAUUAGGACUGUUACCUUGAAAAAAUUAGAGUGUUUAAAGCAGGCUUACGCUUGAAUACAUUAGCAUGGAAUAAUGAAAUAGGACAUCAGAUUCUAUUUUGUUGGUUUCUAGGAUCGAUGUAAUGAUUAAUAGGGAUAGUUGGGGGGCAUUAGUAUUCAAUUGUCGGAGGUGAAAUUCUUGGAUUUAUUGAAGACUAACUACUGCGAAAGCAUUUGCCAAGGAUGUUUUUCAUUAAUCAAGAACGAAAGUUAGGGGAUCGAAGACGAUCAGAUACCGUCGUAGUCUUAACCAUAAACUAUGCCGACUAGGGAUCGGAUGAUGUUUAUUUUUUU
rnacentral:misc_RNA from 1 species